GUGAGGAAUAUUGGUCAAUGGGCGAGAGCCUGAACCAGCCAAGUCGCGUGAAGGAAGAAGGAUCUAUGGUUCGUAAACUUCUUUUGCAGGGGAAUAAAGUGCAGGACGUGUCCUGUUUUGUAUGUACCCUGAGAAUAAGGAUCGGCUAACUCCGUGCCAGCAGCCGCGGUAAUACGGAGGAUCCGCGCGUUAUCCGGAUUUAUUGGGUUUAAAGGGUGCGUAGGUGGUUUGAUAAGUCAGCGGUGAAAGUUUGCAGCUUAACUGUAAAAAUGCCGUUGAAACUGUCGGACUUGAGUGUAAAUGAGGUAGGCGGAAUGCGUGGUGUAGCGGUGAAAUGCUUAGAUAUCACGCAGAACUCCGAUUGCGAAGGCAGCUUACUAAGCUACAACUGACACUGAAGCACGAAAGCGUGGGGAUCAAACAGGAUUAGAAACCCUGGUAGUCC
rnacentral:rRNA from 1 species